UACAGAGGGUGCAAGCGUUGUUCGGAAUUAUUGGGCGUAAAGAGCUCGUAGGCGGUUUGUCGCGUCUGCUGUGAAAACUCGGGGCUUAACUCCGGGCCUGCAGUGGGUACGGGCAGACUAGAGUGCGGUAGGGGAGACUGGAAUUCCUGGUGUAGCGGUGAAAUGCGCAGAUAUCAGGAGGAACACCGGUGGCGAAGGCGGGUCUCUGGGCCGAAACUGACGCUGAGGAGCGAAAGCGUGGGGAGCAAACAGG
rnacentral:rRNA from 1 species